CGCAGUUGUGGCCUCAGCUCAAGGCCGAAGGACAGGCUCCAAGAGCCCUGUGAACUCUGCUGAGGAACCAUAAGAGCUCCCAGAGGCCAAGGGCAGGACAGAGAUCAGAGAAGCAGCUGCUCAGAGAACUCUAGCCCUGAAUCUCAUUUUACCACUUGUAAAACAGGAAAAACAACCUACCUUCAUCUCCCCGGGUUGUUAGGAAAUCCACUACAUGAAGAUGUGCAUUCUCUGGCUGGAAGCAGGAUACCAGCUGCCCAACGGCAGAGGCUCGGGGCAUGGCACUGUCCCCACUGUCCCCAUCCCUGACCUAGAAGCUAGAGCCUCACUGCCCUGCCACUCCUGGAUACACGACAGAGGACCAGAACUGGGACUGUGGCCUCUCAGUACAGCCUGGGCAGGAGCUGGGGCCACACCAGAGUCACAGAGCCAGAGGGGGAGCACGGCAGGGCCCAGCCAUUCACAACCUUCAAUCUCAGGAGUCCUUGACAGCCUGAGAGUCCGAGAUUCUGAGCCGUUGGAACUUCUCAAUUCCUACUUUGAUAGAGAGAGGAAUGGUGUGGAAGGACCUGGCGCACAGAUUGGACCAGCCCAGCAUUGACAGAGCCAGGACCUGGGGUCAGGAACUGAACUCAGCUCCAGGCUCAUCUGAAGUCACCCUGACAGGCUGAGGAUGGAGACCUUAUCUCCAUUCACAGGCAUGGUGGGUGGCAGGGACUGGCCCCAACUGACCAGGGUUUUCCAAGUGCACAGCUCAGAAUUCAGUCUUCCCUGCUGUCUCAUCUGGAUACCCUGGUCUACUCCCAGUACCAAAAAACUCCUAUAUCCUUGAAAAUUCCUAAUACCAUGAGGAAACAAAAAUACAUAGCAAUGUGAUGUGUUAUGUUUUACAUCUUAGACUAGUAAAGAAUGAAAGCUAAGUGUAGCAAAGGUGUAGGGACACAGGCACAUUUGUGGACUAGGUGUGACUGUAAGCUGGGUUCAGUGGUUUUUUGGAGGAAAAUUCGUGAACAUUUAAAGAAACUUCUGAAGUCAUUUAUCCCACAGAAGGAGAAGUAGAAUUCAACUUGUAAGGAGUUGCCCAAUAAGCUGGUGUGCAUGGAUAUGUGGACACACGAUACAUACAAGGGUAUUUAGUACAAUGCUGUUGGAAUUAGCAAAGGCCGUCAGGAUGGGAUCUAACCAGCUGCCCCUAGGCGGCAACAGUGAAUUAAAAUGUGGCUUACCCAUGCAGUAAAAUACAAUACCCUUGUUUAAAAGAAGAUCAAUCUGAAUGUACUGCCAUAAAACAUCUAAUGUGAUUUGUGUUAGCUCCAAAAUUUAACAAAGUGAUUGUACAUUUAAAUGCAUUUAAUAAGGCAAGACUGAUGGAGGGAUUAAAGCCUCCUUUGGGACGCAUAGAGUUCACAUUCCCAAAACCGUGAAACUGAUGUUGCUGGCCUUGUCUACACUGGUCAUCCAUGCAUUCUCUCUUCAGGGCCACUGUCCUGACACAGCCAUUCUUCUAGCUGCCUCAGGUAAGUCCACCCACUAUAAACUAUUUUAAAAGUCAGUUGUGUAAUUUUUGAGAGGUGAAAAUGUUACUGCUUUUCUGAAUUUAGCAUUAAUUUGUAGAAAGACAACAUGCAAACUCUCAUGGUUUCUGUAACCUUGCUUUGGCCUUUUCUUUUUCUUUUUUCUUUUUUUUGUAUUACAUAAAGAAUCUUAAAAAGGGCUGUUAGCAAAAACCUCAAUCAAUCUGAAAGAGACCUAGAAGUCUGCAUAUUUUAUACAUAAUAUGUCCUUGCACUCACACUACUACCAAUCUCAGUUUCCAAAGCCAACUCACAACAACUUUACACCGUUUAUGCUGAAGGAAGGGGCCAGCCCCGGUCCUGCCUAUGGGAUACAGAGGGGACACACGGGUGGUAGUGGAAGACAUUAACCAAGGCAGCACCUUGGUU
rnacentral:lncRNA from 10 species